GGGGGUGAUUUGGGCUCGACUCGAAGGCAGAGUGAAAAGUUGCGUGCCAGCGGGUAUGCCAGCUGUGAGGGGCGUACAAACUACAAAUGCAGACAAUGCAUAUGUAACCUCUCCUGCGGUUGCGUUAAGCUAACGCAGGGUCCUGUGCGUUUUUCGCCCCAAGGAAACGCAUGGGUUCAGCUAUUGGGGCUAGGAGCCGUGUCCGUCCUUGGGAUACGGUUUCGAAACCUUACGAGGAUGCCCGGCAGUAAAUCCUGUUGUCCGGAGCUGCUGCCGGAAAGACCAGAAGAGCAACUACGCAUGUAGACGCUUUUCGUGAAACCUUUGAGGACGCGGGUUCGAUUCCCGCCACCUCCACCA
rnacentral:tmRNA from 1 species